GCAAGGGGAGCGGCAGACGGGAGAGUAACACGUGGGAACAUACCUUUUGGUUCGGAACAACUGAGGGAAACUCCAGCUAAUACCGGAUAAGCCCUUACGGGGAAAGAUUUAUCGCCGAAAGAUUGGCCCGCGUCUGAUUAGCUAGUUGGUGAGGUAACGGCUCACCAAGGCGACGAUCAGUAGCUGGUCUGAGAGGAUGAUCAGCCUCACUGGGACUGAGACACGGCCCAGACUCCUACGGGAGGCAGCAGUGGGGAAUAUUGGACAAUGGGGGCAACCCUGAUCCAGCCAUGCCGCGUGAGUGAUGAAGGCCUUAGGG
rnacentral:rRNA from 1 species